UACGUAGGCAGCGAGCGUUGUUCGGAGUUACUGGGCGUAAAGGGUGCGUAGGCGGUUGUUUUAAGUUUGGUGUGAAAUCUCCCGGCUCAACUGGGAGGGUGCGCCGAAUACUGAAUGACUAGAGUGCGGGAGAGGAUAGUGGAAUUCCUGGUGUAGCGGUGAAAUGCGUAGAUAUCAGGAGGAACACCGGUGGUGUAGACGGCUAUCUGGACCGUAACUGACGCUGAGGCA
rnacentral:rRNA from 1 species